rnacentral:tRNA from 1 species
UUGAUUAUAUAUUAUAAACAUAUUAUAAUUUUUUGAAAAAAAAUAGACCUAUUGUGUAAUCA